rnacentral:rRNA from 1 species
AUUGAACGCUGGCGGCAUGCUUUACACAUGCAAGUCGAACGGUAACAGGCCGCCAGGUGCUGCCGAGUGGCGAACGGGUGAGUAAUGCAUCGGAACAUGCCCAGUCGUGGGGGAUAACUACUCGAAAGAGUAGCUAAUACCGCAUACGAUCUAUGGAUGAAAGCGGGGGACCGUAAGGCCUCGCGCGAUUGGAGCGGCCGAUGUCAGAUUAGGUAGUUGGUGGGGUAAAGGCUCACCAAGCCAACGAUCUGUAGCUGGUCUGAGAGGACAACCAGCCACACUGGGACUGAGACACGGCCCAGACUCCUACGGGAGGCAGCAGUGGGGAAUUUUGGACAAUGGGCGCAAGCCUGAUCCAGCAAUGCCGCGUGCAGGAAGAAGGCCUUCGGGUUGUAAACUGCUUUUGUACGGAACGAAACGGCUCUGGUUAAUACCCGGGGCUAAUGACGGUACCGGAAGAAUAAGCACCGGCUAACUACGUG